AGUCGAACGAAGGCUUCGGCCUUAGUGGCGCACGGGUGCGUAACGCGUGGGAAUCUGCCCUUGGGUUCGGAAUAACAGCGAGAAAUUGCUGCUAAUACCGGAUGACGACGAAAGUCCAAAGAUUUAUCGCCUGAGGAUGAGCCCGCGUUGGAUUAGGUAGUUGGUGGGGUAAAGGCCUACCAAGCCGACGAUCCAUAGCUGGUCUGAGAGGAUGAUCAGCCACACUGGGACUGAGACACGGCCCAGACUCCUACGGGAGGCAGCAGUGGGGAAUAUUGGACAAUGGGCGAAAGCCUGAUCCAGCAAUGCCGCGUGAGUGAUGAAGGCCUUAGGGUUGUAAAGCUCUUUUACCCGGGAUGAUAAUGACAGUACCGGGAGAAUAAGCCCCGGCUAACUCCGUGCCAGCAGCCGCGGUAAUACGGAGGGGGCUAGCGUUAUUCGGAAUUACUGGGCGUAAAGCGCACGUAGGCGGCUUUGUAAGUAAGGGGUGAAAGCCUGGAGCUCAACUCCAGAACUGCCUUUUAGACUGCAUCGCUUGAAUCCGGGAGAGGUGAGUGG
rnacentral:rRNA from 1 species